GUAGGGGGCAAGCGUUGUCCGGAAUUACUGGGCGUAAAGGGCCUGUAGGCGGCAUGGUAAGUCCGUAGUGAAAUCUCCCGGCUUAACUGGGAGCGUGCUAUGGAUACUGCCAAGCUAGAGAUCAUCAGAGGAGAGCGGAAUUCCCGGUGUAGUGGUGAAAUGCGUAGAUAUCGGGAGGAACACCAGUGGCGAAAGCGGCUCUCUGGGGUGGUUCUGACGCUGAGGGGCGAAAGCGUGGGGAGCAAACCGGAUUAGAUACCCGGGUAGUCCACGCCGUAAACGAUGAAUGCUAAGUCUCCGGGGUAUCCACCCCCUGUGGGCUGCAGUUAACGCGUUAAGCAUUCCGCCUGGGGACUACGGCCGCAAGGCUAAAACUCAAAGGAAUUGACGGGACCCCGCACAAGCAGCGGAGCGUGUGGUUUAAUUCGAUGCUAAGCGAAGAACCUUACCUAGGCUUGACAUGUAAGUGGUACCAAUUCGAAAGAUGAGGGACCCGCAAGGACAGUUACACAGGUGCUGCAUGGCUGUCGUCAGCUCGUGCCGUGAGGUGUUGGUUUAAGUACCGCAACGAGCGCAACCCUCGUCGUUAGUUGUAUUUUCUAGCGAGACUGCCCGAAAGGGAGGAAGGUGGGGAUGACGUCAAGUCAUCAUGGCUCUUACGUCUAGGGCUACACACACGCUACAAUGGCCGGCACAGACGGUUGCUAAACCGCGAGGUGGAGCCAAUCCGAAAAAACCGGCCCCAGUUGGAAUUGCAGGCUGAAACUCGCCUGCAUGAACGUGGAGUUGCUAGUAAACGCAGGUCAGCACACUGCGUUGAAUACGUUCCCGGGGUUU
rnacentral:rRNA from 1 species